CACGGGGGGAGCAAGCGUUGUUCGGAAUCACUGGGCGUAAAGGGCGUGUAGGCGGUUGCGUAAGUGGGAUGUGAAAUCCCCCGGCUUACCCGGGGACCUGCAUCCCAAACUGCGCGACUUGAGUAUGGGAGAGGAUGAGGGAAUUCCUGGUGUAGCGGUGAAAUGCGUAGAUAUCAGGAGGAACACCGGUGGCGAAGGCGCUCAUCUGGCCCAAUACUGACGCUGAGGCGCGAAAGCUAGGGUAGCGAACGGG
rnacentral:rRNA from 1 species